AGUGAACGCUGGCGGUAGGCCUAACGCAUGCAAGUCGAACGGCAGCACAGUAAGAGCUUGCUCUUACGGGUGGCGAGUGGCGGACGGGUGAGGAAUACAUCGGAAUCUACUUUUUCGUGGGGGAUAACGUAGGGAAACUUACGCUAAUACCGCAUACGACCUACGGGUGAAAGCAGGGGAUCUUCGGACCUUGCGCGAUUGAAUGAGCCGAUGUCGGAUUAGCUAGUUGGCGGGGUAAAGGCCCACCAAGGCGACGAUCCGUAGCUGGUCUGAGAGGAUGAUCAGACACACUGGAACUGAGACACGGGCCAGACUCCUACGGGAGGCAGCAGUGGGGAAUAUUGGACAAUGGGAGCAAGCAUGAUCCAGCCAUACCGCGUGGGUGAAGAAGGCAUUCGGGUUGUAAAGCCCUUUUGUUGGGAAAGAAAAGCAGCAGGUUAAUACCCCGAUGUUCUGACGGUACUAAAAGAAUAAGCACCGGCUAACUUCGUG
rnacentral:rRNA from 1 species